GGCCAAAGGGCUCAUUCGGUACAGCAUGAGACCCUUCAUCUCAAGGUCAUGGGUUCGAGCUCCACAUUGGGUG